rnacentral:rRNA from 1 species
GUCGAGGGGCAUCGGGAUUGAAGCUUGCUUCAAUUGCCGGCGACCGGCGCACGGGUGCGUAACGCGUAUGUAACCUACCUAUAACAGGGGCAUAACACUGAGAAAUUGGUACUAAUUCCCCAUAAUAUUCGGAGAGGCAUCUCUCCGGGUUGAAAACUCCGGUGGUUAUAGAUGGACAUGCGUUGUAUUAGCUAGUUGGUGAGGUAACGGCUCACCAAGGCAACGAUACAUAGGGGGACUGAGAGGUUAACCCCCCACACUGGUACUGAGACACGGACCAGACUCCUACGGGAGGCAGCAGUGAGGAAUAUUGGUCAAUGGACGCAAGUCUGAACCAGCCAUGCCGCGUGCAGGAAGACGGCUCUAUGAGUUGUAAACUGCUUUUGUACGAGGGUAAACUCACCUACGUGUAGGUGACUGAAAGUAUCGUACGAAUAAGGAUCGGCUAACUCCGUGCCAGCAGCCGCGGUAAUACGGAGGAUUCAAGCGUUAUCCGGAUUUAUUGGGUUUAAAGGGUGCGUAGGCGGUUUGAUAAGUUAGAGGUGAAAUCCCGGGGCUUAACUCCGGAACUGCCUCUAAUACUGUUAGACUAGAGAGUAGUUGCGGUAGGCGGAAUGUAUGGUGUAGCGGUGAAAUGCUUAGAGAUCAUACAGAACACCGAUUGCGAAGGCAGCUUACCAAACUAUAUCU